GAACACGGCCUUCUGGAUCGUCUUCUCCGUCAUCCACAUCGUGGCCACCCUGCUGCUGAGCACCCAGCUCUACUACAUGGGGCGCUGGAAGCUGGACUCGGGCAUCCUGCGCAGGAUCCUGCACGUGCUGUACACGGACUGCGUCCGGCAGUGCAGUGGGCCCAUGUACGUGGAUCGCAUGGUGCUCUUGGUCAUGGGAAACAUCAUCAACUGGUCGCU